AUGGGUGGUUUCAGCCGAGCCAGCUGCUUCCUCUGCCUGGGCCCAAGGAAGAAGGAAGUCCCACCGCCUCCCCGGGCCGAACCGCGCCGAGCCGCUGCGGCAGGAACCUUCGCCUGGGACGAGCUCGCGGCCUUCGCCUUGGACGAGCUGGCGGCGGCGACCAGGAACUUCGGAGACGACUCCCGCGUCUUUGGUCCGGAGGCGGGUCUCUACAAAGGCUACCUCAAGAGCAUCAACCAGAUCGUUAGUAGGAGUAUUAACCUGCAGCAUGCCGCGGAGCAACUCAACAGCGAGUUUCUCGCCCAUGUCCUGACGCUGAGCGCGCUGCGCCACCCGAAUGUCGUCAACCUCAUUGGCUUCUGCGCGGACGGCCAAUACAGAAUCUUGGUUCACGAGCACGUGCCAUUGGGUUCUCUCGAAGAUCACCUCCACCGAGUAACCACAGUUCCCCGCUUCCCGCUCCCCGCCGCGCGCUACUCCGGCGCCGGCGUCCACCGCGCCUGGGCGCUCUCGCCGCAGCCACUCCGACUGCGGCGACCACCUCCUUGCCUCCCGGCGGCCAUCCCUCGCCGCCCCUAG
rnacentral:rRNA from 1 species